UGGCUAGGAUGAACGCUAGCGGCAGGCUUAACACAUGCAAGUCGAGGGGCAGCGGGAUGUAGCAAUACAUUGCCGGCGACCGGCGGAUGGGUGCGUAACGCGUAUGCAACCUACCUUAUACAGGGGAAUAACCUUUCGAAAGGGAGACUAACACCCCAUGGUAUUGAUUUAAGGCAUCUUAGAUUAAUUAAAUAUUUAUAGGUAUAAGAUGGGCAUGCGUAUGAUUAGCUAGUUGGUAAGGUAACGGCUUACCAAGGCGACGAUCAUUAGGGGUUCUGAGAGGAAGGUCCCCCACACUGGUACUGAGACACGGACCAGACUCCUACGGGAGGCAGCAGUGAGGAAUAUUGGUCAAUGGGCGCAAGCCUGAACCAGCCAUGCCGCGUGCAAGGAAGACGGCCUUAUGGGUUGUAAACUGCUUUUACAUAAGACUAACCGUAUAUUUGCGAAUAUACCUGAAUGUAUUAUGAGAAUAAGGAUCGGCUAACUCCGUGCCAGCCGCGGC
rnacentral:rRNA from 1 species